GAACUUUUGGACGCGAAAAUCAGAGAACAAAACUUCGUAUGGAGUGGACGACAUCCUCAAGGCGAGGUUGAGUUGAGAAGAUUUAACAGGAAUUGCUUGCUUAUGUUUCUUCUUCUACUUUCGUGCAAGGGACAAUGUUCGCCAGUCUCACUGUUUCAUUGAUUACCUGCAAAAUUUGGUGAACUGCACUGCAGGGUUCUCCGUUAGUAACUUAAUGGCUAAUGUUAUCGCUAAGGAAGUAGUCUCAAAGCUUGCAAAGAGAAGGACAAACAUUAAGUCCAGCGCAAUUGCUUCAUGGCUUCUUUCACUUCUACUCUAUCCUGAUUAGCCCAUGAAGACAAAUUGCUUCUUGCCGCCUGUGCCACCUGAGGGAGGAGCUUUUGUUUUAGACUUUCAGGACCAAAGAGAUUCAGAACCAUAUUCUUCAGGAGGAACAUCAGAUGAAGUAUUUGGUGCAAAGAACUGAAGACUUUCGCCAAGAAGUGGGAUACCCAUUGAACCAGGAGGAAGUUUUCCAUUGCAUUUGGGAUUUCUCCAUCUGUAGACCCAGUGAGUAAUGCAGAUAAGAAUUAAGUGAAGUGCGUGAAAAACUGCAGAUAAACUGCCAGAGUAUAUCUGUAUUAACAUAUGGAGAAGCAGACAGCAAGUUUUGAGCCAAAUUCCAUAAACAAUUUCGUGACUGAUCUUACUGAGAAUGGCGCACCAUUGUGGAGCCAAAAGCAUGCGAGCAUCAGGAACUUGCUGCAGUGUAGCCGAGGCAAAAAGCUUGCUUGGAAAAAAUGCACUUCUUUUGGAAGGUAAAAGAAAUCAGAUUAAAAAAACUUGGAUAACUGAGUAGGCCAGAGGCUGGCACUCAUACCUGACCAUCAGAAGUUCGAAUCCCCCUAAUCAUUUCCAGAAAGAAAAAAAAAAGGUUGGAUAUUGUCCUUGUUUUAGGUCAUUUUAAUGGAUUAAGGGAGACGGGAGCAUUGCAAUAGAACGAAAAUACUGACUGGGUCAUGUUAAUGUUAUUAGAAGUCUCAAAGUUGUAUGGUAGUCUGCAACUAGCUACUAGCUAAAUUUGUUGGGUUUCAAAAGAACUUGUAAUGGUAAUGCAGAUGUCUUAGCUAGGUAGUCUUACGGCAAAGCAUAUGGAUAUCUAGAAUCUAGGACAUCCUGGUGUGGUUGUAUAACCCAUUAACUAGAAAUUUGGUUAUUUUGGUGCAAAAAAAUAUACUGGUUUGCUUCUUGGACCAUGAAGUUGCCAACUGAUGGCCUCCAAAAUAAAU